rnacentral:rRNA from 1 species
GAUGGGUAGUUUGACUGGGGCGGUCUCCUCCCAAAGAGUAACGGAGGAGCACAAAGGUACCCUCGGUACGGUCGGACAUCGUACCAAGAGUGUAAAGGCAAAAGGGUGCUUGACUGCGAGAGUGACGGCUCGAGCAGGAACGAAAGUUGGUCUUAGUGAUCCGGUGGUUCUGAAUGGAAGGGCCAUCGCUCAACGGAUAAAAGGUACUCCGGGGAUAACAGGCUGAUACCGCCCAAGAGUUCAUAUCGACGGCGGUGUUUGGCACCUCGAUGUCGGCUCAUCACAUCCUGGGGCUGAAGCAGGUCCCAAGGGUAUGGCUGUUCGCCAUUUAAAGUGGUACGCGAGCUGGGUUUAGAACGUCGUGAGACAGUUCGGUCCCUAUCUGCCGUGGGCGUAGGAAAAUUGAGAGGAGCUGCUCCUAGUACGAGAGGACCGGAGUGGACGAACCUCUGGUGCACCGGUUGUCACGCCAGUGGCAUGGCCGGGUAGCUAAGUUCGGACGGGAUAACCGCUGAAAGCAUCUAAGCGGGAAGCCUCCCUCAAGAUGAGUUUUCCCAUGAAGC